CCCGCGACCAAGCGGCGGAGCAUGCGGAUUAAUUCGAUGCAACGCGAAGAACCUUACCAAGGCUUGACAUACACCGGUAACGCCCAGAGAUGGGUGCCCCCGUUUGUGGUCGGUUGGACAGGUGGUGCGUGGUUGUCGUCAGCUCGUGUCGUGAGAUGUUGGGUUAAGUCCCGCAACGAGCGCAACCCUCGUCCUAUGUUGCCAGCGGGUCAUGCCGGGGACUCAUGGGAGACUGCCGGGGUCAACUCGGAGGAAGGUGGGGAUGACGUCAAAUCAUCAUGCCCCUUAUGUCUCGGGCUUCACGCAUGCUACAAUGGCCGGUACAAAGGGCUGCGAUACCGCGAGGUGGAGCGAAUCCCAGAAAGCCGGUCUCAGUUCGGAUUGGGGUCUGCAACUCGACCCCAUGAAGUCGGAGUCGCUAGUAAUCGCAGAUCAGCAACGCUGCGGUGAAUACGUUCCCGGGCCUU
rnacentral:rRNA from 1 species